GCCUGGCUGGCUCAGUCGGGAGAGCGUGCGACUCUUGAUCUCGGGGUCGUGAGUUUGAACCCCACAUUGGGCU
rnacentral:tRNA from 1 species